rnacentral:lncRNA from 1 species
UUUGUUCUCUCACACCUCUGUAAACAAGGCUUUUUGCUGCUGUUCCCAUCAAGCUGCUCCCUGCAACUGUGUAGAAAGACUGUCACAACAGCACUUGUCAGGAGCUGCAGCGUAGCAAGCCAUGACAGCUGGUGGCACGAGGAGCCCAUGCAUCUGCUUUUCUCCCUCUGCCAGGUCUCCCUGAAUAAUGGGAGGUCUUAUGUACACACGAAUGAUGCUAUUGAUCCUCCCACUGUGGGCCCCAAGCACUGCCGUUCUUUGUAAGUAGCUGGGGGUUGCGUUCACACUGCUCUCCUCACACACCACCACCUAAUUCCCCCUGGGAUCCAGGGAGCGUAUUUGUACUUGGUUAUAAGUGCAGAGAGUCCUGGAAUCUUUAUCAGGAGAGCAGAAUUUGGGUGGCAGCCUUGUCGCAUACCAGUGUCUCCAGUUCCAUGCAAGCCAGGCGGCAGAGGAAGCAUCAGAAGAGCCAAGUGGAACAUGGUCCAUGAUGGGUCACAAGCCCAGAGGCCCAGGAAAGCGGGGAGGAGUAUAUUUUGCAUUACAAUCCCUGAAAAACAAGGAGCCACCAAAGGGAGUAGCGGAGGCGUCUUCAUCACAUAGUGCAAAUGCCAUCCUUUGAGUGUAGCAGGAAGGUGGGCACAGAUGAUCAGAGAAGCGCUCCAGAAGACAAGAGAUGUCGGCAAACUUCGUUUUCC